AAUAGAUGUUACAGCAGCUGAUAUUAUAUGCUGCAGAAAAAGUUGGAGAAUAACUGAAAAAAAAUCCAGUUGCAUUUCAUGGAAAAUCAAGCAGUGCAGAAACAUGAAUCAUGCACAACAAGUGCGCACACACACUGUAGCUUAUAUGUGCAGUGCAGGGCUGUUCUUCAAUUCUGCAGCAUAUCAUCCUUUCUAAUCUGGGAUUGACUAAUCCUCCUGUGUUCCUGAUCCAGGCAAGGGGAGAGACAAACACCUGGUAACUGGGAAAUGGUUUUCUCAGCUGUGCUUGAGGUUUACAGAAUGGGUGGAAUAUUUUGAGGCUGCUUUCUCUGUGAAUGCAGGGUGGUGGUGGUGGACUCUUGGGACCAUGUGCACCACCAUCAUGUUUCUCUCUACUCUGGCUUUUGUACUGCGCCAGCAUUUCUUCAGCCGAAGUAAGACCUUUCCAAAAGGCUCGCGGGAGAAGGAGUCACCAUCGGUGGAGAGCAAAGACACUGACAAGUGACACUCACUUAAUGGACAUCCAACUCAGAGCUGGGUUUUAGAUGUGGAAGCUGUGCUCAGGUCCAUGGAAAGACAGCUGAAUUCUCUUUUGGAGAAAUGUCCUCAGUCGAAAUGUGGAAACAGCCCAGUGGGUCCUCUAUCUCCUUUAAGCCACAGCAGGUCUCGCUCCAGUCAACAAGCUGAUCCGUAAAGUCAACUUUAGAUGCUUUUCAACUUUCUGAGCAAAACAAAUCCCAUAUUUUUGCCCCAAACAGUCACUUGGAGUAGACAGACUUUGAGCACUUCUUGUUGCCGGUUUUCCUUUAUUCCAGCAACAAAGAGCCCACAGAAGUGUACGCUCUGUGCCACGAGCACCAAACCUGCUGUGAUUGGCAGCUUUGUUGGAGGGUUUUUUUUUGGCUUGCUAAAAUCCCUGUGCAAUAAUCUCACCUCUUAAGUAGUUGUUUGACAUUACAGGGAGGAAAGCAAUUUCACACCCGGUUGUAUCAUUACUCAACUGCUCCAUAAGCGAUGAAUACCUGACGGUCUCUGGAAUGACUGAAAAACUUUCUGUCAUUACCGAGCUGCCAGACCAGAAAUAAACAAGUGUUUUCUGUGAUGUA